CUCUCGGCAACGGAUAUCUCGGCUCUCGCAUCGAUGAAGAACGUAGCGAAAUGCGAUACUUGGUGUGAAUUGCAGAAUCCCGUGAACCAUCGAGUUUUUGAACGCAAGUUGCGCCCGAAGCCUUUUGGCCAGGGCACGCCUGCCUGGGCGUCACG
rnacentral:rRNA from 3 species